UGCUUGCACUCUGCUGACGACCGGCGCACGGGUGAGUAACGCGUAUAGAACCUACCUUUUACUGGAGAAUAACCAGGAGAAAUUCUGACUAAUACUCCAUAGUAUGUAUAAGUUACAUAGUUUAUACAUUAAAGAUUUAUUGGUAAAAGAUGGCUAUGCGUCCUAUUAGCUAGAUGGUGUGGUAACGGCACACCAUGGCAACGAUAGGUAGGGGCCCUGAGAGGGGGACCCCCCACACUGGUACUGAGACACGGACCAGACUCCUACGGGAGGCAGCAGUGAGGAAUAUUGGACAAUGGGCGCAAGCCUGAUCCAGCAAUGCCGCGUGUGUGAAGAAGGCCUGCGGGUUGUAAAGCACUUUUGUCAGGGAAGAAACGGCCUGGGCUAAUACCCCAUGGCUAUUGACGGUACCUGAAGAAUAAGCACCGGCUAACUCCGUGCCAGCAGCCGCGGUAAUACGGAGGGUGCGAG
rnacentral:rRNA from 1 species